rfam:Triticum aestivum genome assembly, contig: Triticum_aestivum_CS42_TGACv1_scaffold_049419_1BS
CAAGUACUCCCUUUGUCCCAAAAUUCUUGUGUUACAUUUAUCUAGAUAUAGAUGUAUUAAACAUUAAAACGUGAAUAGAUACAUCCGUAUGUAGAUAAAUCUAAGACAAGAAUUUUGGGACCAAGGGAGUAGAUA